GAUGAAGAACGUAGCGAAAUGCGAUACGUAAUGUGAAUUGCAGAAUUCAGUGAAUCAUCGAAUCUUUGAACGCAUAUUGCGCUCUUUGGUAUUCCGAAGAGCAUGCUUGUUUGAGUAUCAGUAAACACCUCAACCUCUUCUUGAUUUUUCAAAAGGAGGGUGGACUUGAGCUAUCCCAACAACCUUUACCGGUCGGCGGGCGGCUUGAAAUGCAGGUGCAGCUGGACUUUUAUCUGAGCUAAAAGCAUAUCUAUUUAGACCUCGUCAAACAGGAUUAUUACUUUUGCUGCAGCUAACAUAAAGGAUAAUUGUCCUCUUUGCUGACUGAUGCAGGAUUUUACGACACUUUAUGUGUUGUUCAACUCGAUCUCAAAUCAAGUAAGACUACCCGCUGAACUUAAGCAUAUCAAUAAGCGGAGGA
rnacentral:misc_RNA from 1 species